GUGAGGAAUAUUGGUCAAUGGGCGAGAGCCUGAACCAGCCAAGUAGCGUGAAGGAAGAGUGCCUUACAGGUAAUAAACUUCUUUUCUUCGGGAGUAAUGACAUCUACGAGUUAGGUGUAGAGUAAGUACCGAAAGAACAAGCAUCGGCUAACUCCGUGCCAGCAGCCGCGGUAAUACGGAGGAUGCGAGUGUUAUCCGGAUUUAUUGGGUUUAAAGGGUGCGUAGGCGGACAGUUAAGUCAGCUGUUAAAGGACCAUGCUCAGCGUGGGAAGUGCAGUUGAAACUGACAGUCUAGAGAGUACAUAAGGCAGUUGGAAUUUGUGGUGUAGCGGUGAAAUGCAUAGAUAUCAUCCAGAACACCGAUUGCGAAGGCAGGUGGCUGUACCUUAAUCGACGCUGAUGCACGAAAGCAUGGGGAGCAAACAGGAUUAGAAACCCGUGUAGUCC
rnacentral:rRNA from 1 species